GGUCAAGCGAAUAAGCGCACACGGUGGAUGCCUUGGCGGUCAGAGGCGAUGAAGGACGUGGCAGCCUGCGAAAAGUAUCGGGGAGCUGGCAACAAGCUUUGAUCCGGUAAUGUCCGAAUGGGGAAACCCACCCGCUUGCGGGUAUCCUGCAGUGAAUACAUAGCUGCUGGAAGCGAACCUGGUGAACUGAAAUAUCUAAGUAACCAGAGGAAAAGAAAUCAACCGAGAUUCCGUAAGUAGCGACGAGCGAACGCGGACUAGCCCUUAAGCUGAUUUGGUUCUAGGAAAACGCUCUGGAAAGAGCGGCCAUAGAAGGUGAUAGCCCUGUAUCUGAAAGGGCCAUUUCAGUGAAGACGAGUAGGGCGGGGCACGUGAAACCCUGUCUGAACAUGGGGGGACCAUCCUCCAAGGCUAAAUACUACUGACCGACCGAUAGUGAACCAGUACCGUGAGGGAAAGGCGAAAAGAACCCCGGAGAGGGGAGUGAAAUAGAACCUGAAACCGUGUGCGUACAAGCAGUAGGAGCUCCGCAAGGAGUGACUGCGUACCUUUUGUAUAAUGGGUCAGCGACUUACUGUUCGUGGCAAGCUUAACCGUAUAGGGGAGGCGAAGGGAAACCGAGUCUGAUAAGGGCGCAUAGUCGCGGGCAGUAGACCCGAAACCGGGUGAUCUAGUCAUGCCCAGGGUGAAGGUGCGGUAACACGCACUGGAGGCCCGAACCCACUCCCGUUGCAAAGGUAGGGGAUGAGGUGUGAUUAGGAGUGAAAAGCUAAUCGAACCCGGAGAUAGCUGGUUCUCCUCGAAAGCUAUUUAGGUAGCGCCUCAUAUGUAUCCUCUCGGGGGUAGAGCACUGUUAUGGCUAGGGGGUCAUCGCGACUUACCAAACCAUUGCAAACUCCGAAUACCGAGACGGACUGUAUGGGAGACACACGGCGGGUGCUAACGUCCGUCGUGAAAAGGGAAACAACCCAGACCCACAGCUAAGGUCCCAAAUUCACUGCUAAGUGGAAAACCAUGUGGAAAGGCACAGACAGCCAGGAGGUUGGCUUAGAAGCAGCCACCCUUUAAAGAAAGCGUAAUAGCUCACUGGUCGAGUCGGUCUGCGGGGAAGAUUUAACGGGGCUAAGCAGUGAACCGAAGCUUGGGGUGCAUACUUUGUAUGCGCGGUAGAGGAGCGUUCCGUAAGCCGUUGAAGGUGGAUUGAGAAGUCUGCUGGAGGUAUCGGAAGUGCGAAUGCUGACAUGAGUAACGAUAAUGCGGGUGAAAAACCCGCACGCCGAAAGCCCAAGGUUUCCUUGCGCAACGUUAAUCGGCGCAGGGUGAGUCGGCCCCUAAGGCGAGGACGAAAGUCGUAGUCGAUGGGAAGCAGGUUAAUAUUCCUGCACCUCGCGUAAGUGCGAUGGAGGGACGGAGAAGGUUAGGUGUACCAGGCGUUGGUUGUCCUGGGGAAAGGCGGUAGGUUUGGAUCUUUGGCAAAUCCGGGAUCCUUUAAGACCGAGCACCGAGACGAGCCUUUAUGGCGAAGUCACUGAUACCACGCUUCCAGGAAAAGCUCCUAAGCUUCAGCUUACGCAGACCGUACCGUAAACCGACACAGGUGGGUAGGAUGAGAAUUCUCAGGCGCUUGAGAGAACUCGGGUGAAGGAACUAGGCAACAUGGCACCGUAACUUCGGGAGAAGGUGCACCCUUUUUGGUGGCUCGUGCGAGCUAUAGCUGAAGAGGGUCGCAGUAACCAGGCCGCUGCGACUGUUUAUCAAAAACACAGCACUCUGCAAACACGAAAGUGGACGUAUAGGGUGUGACGCCUGCCCGGUGCUGGAAGGUUAAUUGAUGGGGUCAGCCGCAAGGCGAAGCUCUUGAUCGAAGCCCCAGUAAACGGCGGCCGUAACUAUAACGGUCCUAAGGUAGCGAAAUUCCUUGUCGGGUAAGUUCCGACCUGCACGAAUGGCGUAACGACAGCGGCGCUGUCUCCACCCGAGACUCAGUGAAAUUGAAAUCGCUGUGAAGAUGCAGCGUUCCCGUGGCAAGACGGAAAGACCCCGUGAACCUUUACUAUAGCUUUACACUGAACGUUGAGUUCGUCUGUGUAGGAUAGGUGGGAGGCUAUGAAACUGUGGCGCUAGCUGCAGUGGAGCCAUCCUUGAAAUACCACCCUGUCGUGCUUGACGUUCUAACCUGGGCCCAUUAUCUGGGUCGGGGACCGUGUAUGGUGGGUAGUUUGACUGGGGCGGUCUCCUCCUAAAGAGUAACGGAGGAGCUCGAAGGUACGCUCAGCGCGGUCGGACAUCGCGCACUGUGUGCAAAGGCAUAAGCGUGCUUGACUGCAAGAUCGACGGAUCAAGCAGGUAGGAAACUAGGACUUAGUGAUCCGGUGGUUCUGUAUGGAAGGGCCAUCGCUCAACGGAUAAAAGGUACUCCGGGGAUAACAGGCUGAUACCGCCCAAGAGUUCAUAUCGACGGCGGUGUUUGGCACCUCGAUGUCGGCUCAUCACAUCCUGGGGCUGUAGUCGGUCCCAAGGGUAUGGCUGUUCGCCAUUUAAAGUGGUACGCGAGCUGGGUUCAGAACGUCGUGAGACAGUUCGGUCCCUAUCUGCCAUGGGCGUUGGAGAUUUGAGAGGGGCUGCUCCUAGUACGAGAGGACCGGAGUGGACGAACCUCUGGUGUUCCGGUUGUCACGCCAGUGGCAUUGCCGGGUAGCUAUGUUCGGAAGCGAUAACCGCUGAAAGCAUCUAAGCGGGAAGCGCGCCUCAAGAUGAGAUCUCCCGGGGCACAAGCCCCCUGAAGGAACCAUGUAGACUACGUGGUUGAUAGGUCAGGUGUGUAAGUACAGCAAUGUAUUGAGCUAACUGAUACUAAUGAUCCGAGAGGCUUGACCAU
rnacentral:rRNA from 2 species